UUUAAUAUUUGAGUUCUUGUUUUUUACCAUGUUGCUUCUGUUGAUUUUUUUGCAACGGAUGAAGAAACAUACAAAUAACAUAAUCAAGAAAGAUUGAUAAAUAAUGAUUUAUUUUUUGAGUGCCCAUUCUGACCCUUUAUAAUUGGUACACAUAAUAAAAGAGAUUAGUAUGUUUGUCUCAUGUUGCCUACAAUCUGGAGUAUGGAUGAGUUAAAUCCUAAUUGGUUGAUGGUCCUAAAUGCAACUGCAACAUGAAUUCUUUAUUCAUAAUGGAUGGAUGGUUGGAUCGAAAUUAUAUACUUGGUCGUAUGAAUUCUUUAUUCAUAAUAUUAAAAAUAGAUGGUAUGCUUUUAUGAUUUCACUCAAGGAUCUUGAUGAAACUAAAUUUAAGUGGCUAUAGAAACCCUGGUGGUUGUUUUGGACUGCGAGAUUGAACGUUGCUGGCAAGGUGAAUGCUUAAUUCAUAAUAUGAUACUGGAUGAUAUGUUUGACACUAGUUGCCUAUGGUUUUGAAUUCAGAUGCGACCCUAAUUUGCAAAAUUACCGGAAAUGCAAUUACAAUUUAAAUUCUCAAUCUUUAGUGCAAAAUUGGGAUUGUAUACUUGAGUCAUUGGUGGUCUUCAAUGCAAAUUGUAGUAUGAAUUCUUUGUUCAUAAUAUAAAUUGGGAUGCUAUGCUGGGGGACAUGAUAUCCCAAAAUACAAUUGUAAUAUGGACUCUUUAUUAACUAUGCAAAGAGAUGGUAUAAUUUGCCUCGAUGACCCUAAAUGCAAAUUAUACUACAGAUUCAUUAUAUAUAAUUUGCCUUGAUGACCCUAAAUGCAAAUUAUACUACAAAUUCGUUAUAUAAUCCUUUUAUGUUAUGCCUUGAAUAUGCUAUCAUUGUUAUGUUUUCCAAGCAUGGACACUCCAAUGAUUUUCCUUCCCAUCUUGUUCAUGGAUGAAUGAAGUCCUGGUUAGUGCCGGAUUGAGGUAGUGACUUACAAAAGGAGUUGCUUUUUCGUAACAAAGUAUGUGAUGUUUGACAAAGAAAUAAAAGCAAAAGAAGAAUCAACUUAAAGACAAUCUUCUCUACAAGCAAUUAUAUGUAUGUAUAGGGCCUAUGAAAAAAUUAGUAUCUGUUCAUUUGACCUUAAUUGCCUACAAAUUUAAAUUAAUUUGAGACCCUUAUAAUUGGCUGGCAGAUGCAAUGUAUUUACAAAUAUGUAAGAAAUAUGCGAUGUAUUUUACUAUAAUUAUGGGAAAAUAUGGUAGAUAUGGUUGGAAAGGCUGUUAUUGCAGUUGUGCACUGCACUUCUGGCUUUACUCAAAACUACGGAGGUUUGUCUUCUU
rnacentral:lncRNA from 1 species